GUGCAGCAGUCGCGAAUAGUCUACAAUGGACGAAAGUCUGAUAGUGCGACGCCGUGUGUGCGAUUAAUUCCUUCGGGAUGUAAAGCACUUUUCUAUGAGAUAAAAGCUCUUUAGGUUAAUAGCUUAUUGAGACGGGAUAUUAUUAUAGGAAUAAGCUCCGGCUAACUCCGUGCCAGCAGCCGCGGUAAUACGGAAGGAGCGAGCGUUGUCCGGAUUUACUAGGCGUAAAGGGCUAGUAGGCGACUAAUUAAGUUAUAUGUUAAAUCCCACGGCUCAACUGUGGUCCUGCAUGUAAUACUGGUUAGAUAGAGUACUGUAGAGGAAGGCAGAAUUCCUGGAGUAGCGGUGGAAUGCGCAGAUAUCAGGAAGAAUACCAAAAGCGAAGGCAGCCUUCUGGGCAGUUACUGACGCUGAAUAGCGAAGGUGUGGGUAGCGAACAGGAUUAGAUACCCCUGUA
rnacentral:rRNA from 1 species